UGAAGCGUACAUUGCCGAUCGCUGGCGAUUCCUCUUCCACCUGAACGGGCUCAAGUCUGCUCGGGUUGUCUACGACUGUUUUAUUAUCUACUUUAAUCGUGGGUGAAAUCUUCCACGAGACUCGUUUUUCGAGUUUAUAAAAGGAGAUGAGGCCUAAGUGGAGAAAGAAGCGCAUGAGGAGAUUGAAGCGUAAGCGCCGAAAGAUGCGACAAAGAUCCAAGUAGGCGGAUCAUCCACAACCGUGCCAACCUUUGAUAAAGACUUAUUUUGUCAUCAAAAACAACAAAUUCCUGAACACUGGACACAUUGAUGCAAGCUAUAUUUCAUAGAAAAGCGAGCUUGUCUAAUAUUGCAGGUUGCUCUGUCGUGAAUAUAACAAAACAAAAAAAAUUUCAGUUC